rnacentral:rRNA from 1 species
UGGGGAAUAUUGCACAAUGGGGGAAACCCUGAUGCAGCCAUGCCGCGUGUGUGAAGAAGGCCUUCGGUUGUAAGCACUUUCUAGCGAGGAGGAAAGGGUUAGGUAGGCUAAUAAACUAGCCAGCUGUGACGUUACUCGCAGAAGAAGCACCGGCUAACUCCGUGCCAGCAGCCGCGGUAAUACGGGAGGGUGCAAGCGUUAAUCGGAAUUACUGGGCGUAAAGCGUGCGCAGGCGGUUAUGUAAGACAGAGGUGAAAUCCCCGGGCUCAACCUGGGAACUGCCUUUGUGACUGCAUAGCUAGAGUACGGUAGAGGGGGAUGGAAUUCCGCGUGUAGCAGUGAAAUGCGUAGAUAUGCGGAGGAACACCGAUGGCGAAGGCAAUCCCCUGGACCUGUACUGACGCUCAUGCACGAAAGCGUGGGGAGCAAACAGGAUUAGAUACCCU